CAGCCCCAUCGCUUCCCACCUCAGCGCCGCCACCGCUCACCGUGUAGGUCGAACCCUCAACUUCGCCCGCUGCUCUCCGGCGAAGGCGGAGGGCCAGAUGCUCCUCCUCCUCGGCCCCCCGGCCCUCUCCACUCACCGGUGAGGGAAAGGGCGUCUCUUCUCCUGGCGUCCCUUCCCCAUCACGGCGACUUGCAGAAGACACUGGCGGCGGAUUCUGAAGGGCGCCCGCCCCGCGGCGCCGACAAAAAUCUCAGUGCCGGUGCCGGCGAGCCGGAGAUUGGUGGGUGCUGCUCUGCUGCCCAGGCUACGAGAUUUUGCAGGCCUUCCCCCCAAUUCGAGAUGAGCGAGGCACCCCGCUCUUCGCCGGCGCCGGCGCCGGCGAACCUUCCGGACGACGACGACAUCCUCUGGGAGAUCCUGCUCCGCCUGCCGCCGCUCCCGUCCUCGCUUCCCCGCGCCUCCCUCGUCUGCAAGCGCUGGCGCCGCCUCCUCUCGGACACCUGAUUCCUCCGCCGCUUCCGCGCCCACCACAAGACGCCUCCUCAACUCGGCUUCUUCAUGUACAACCUCACCGGACCCUUCUUCGUCCCGACGCUGAGCGCGCCAGACCGCAUCCCUUCUGCUCGCUUCUCCCCGCCGAAGCCCACCAGCAUGCGUUGGAUAUUCCUCGGCUGCCGCCAUGGCUUUGCCGCCUUCCUUGACCUUACCUGCUAGGAGGCCGUUGUGUGGGAACCUGUCACGGGCAGCUGUUUCCGCAUAGAUUUGCCGCCGGAGUUGAAGUCUGAUGAUAACCACUACAUAUUCAAUGGUGCAGUGCUGAGUUCUGCUGGCAUUAAUGGCAACGACCACGUACAGAGUGCUUACCACUUGCCCCACUUUAAAUUUAUCUUACUGUUCAACAAUGGGGAAGAAAAUCUUGCAUGUGCACGCCUCUAUGAAUCAGAGUCUGGAAAAUGGGGUGAUAUAAGCGCAGUAACCAUGCCAUCUACUUCCUUACUGUUCGAUCCUGGUGUCCUGGUCAGGAAUACAGUUUGCUGGCAUCUUCUUUUUGGUGACAUCCUCGAGUUUAAUUUGGAUAUGGAAAGUCUAGCCAUAAUUCAGAAGCCAGAGGGGGCCUAUCUCACAGAUCGGUCAUCCGUUCGGGUGUUGCGGACUGAAGAUAGAGAACUUGGCCUUGCAAUCGUGUCUGAACUGAGCAUCCAAUUAUGGGGGAGGAAAGCCAAUUCAAAUGGUGUUCUUGGAUGGGUGCUGCAGAAAACUGUUCAACUGGACAAGCUUCUUCCACUAAAGCUGUUAUGGAGGAGAUGGAUAACAAAUAUUAUAGGGUUUGACGAGGACAGCAAUGAGAUUAUUCUUUAUAUAGCUCAUGACAUUUUCAUGAUUCAACUGGAGUCAAUGCAGUUCGAGAAACUUGCAGUAAAUGAUUGUAUCACUGAGUAUUAUCCCUACAGAAGCUUUUACGCUGCAGUGGAUUCGGCAGUUGGUGGUGGAGAUGAUGGAGGUGAAAUAUUGAACAGCACAUGAGAUUGUCACCCUAUUAGAUCCUGCUGUGUUGGUUGAAAAGUUACCCGGAGUUGUCUACAAGCUCUGCCAAGUUGAGGCGCCAUCUAACACCCAUCUACUGAGAGGUGGUCAUGUACCAAAUAUAGGAGUUGCUAACCCCAAUCGGGGUUAUAUUGAAUGAUGUAUAAUAAUAUACUCGAGCUACGGCCAAGUGUCGACUCGAUUUGAUGCAGCAUCAGCCAACUUGCUCCAAUGAGAUUGUACCUCUGGGGGUUGUGACUUGUGAGGUGAUCAAUCUGGGAAUGUAACUUUGUUAGUUCAGA